GGGGAAUAUUGGGGCAAAUGGGGCGAAAGCCUGACCCUGCAACGCCGCGUGAAGGAAGAAGGUCUUCGGAUUGUAAACUUCUUUUAUCAGGGACGAAGGAAGUGACGGUACCUGAUGAAUAAGCCACGGCUAACUACGUACCAGCAGCCGCGGUAAUACGUAGGUGGCGAGCGUUAUCCGGAUUUACUGGGUGUAAAGGGCGCGUAGGCGGGGAUACAAGUCAGGUGUGAAAUCUAUGGGCUUAACCCAUAAACUGCACUUGAAACUGUAUCUCUUGAGUGUCGGAGAGGUAGACGGAAUUCCUAGUGUAGCGGUGAAAUGCGUAGAUAUUAGGAGGAACACCAGUGGCGAAGGCGGUCUACUGGACGAUAACUGACGCUGAGGCGCG
rnacentral:rRNA from 1 species